GAUGAACGCUGGCGGCGUGCCUAAUACAUGCAAGUCGAGCGAACGGACGAGAAGCUUGCUUCUCUGAUGUUAGCGGCGGACGGGUGAGUAACACGUGGAUAACCUACCUAUAAGACUGGGAUAACUUCGGGAAACCGGAGCUAAUACCGGAUAAUAUUUUGAACCGCAUGGUUCAAAAGUGAAAGACGGUCUUGCUGUCACUUAUAGAUGAAUCCGCGCUUCAUUAGCUAGUUGGUAAGGUAACGGCUUACCAAGGCAACGAUGCAUAGCCGACCCCAGAGGGUGAUCGGCCACCCUGUAACUGAGACACGGUCCAGACUCCUACGCGGGGCAGCGGUAGGGAAUCUUCCGCAAUGGGCGAAAGCCUGACGGUGCAACGCCGCGUGAGUGAUGAAGGUCUUCUGACCGUAAAACUCUGUUAUUAGGAAAGAUCAUAUGUGUAAGUAACUGUGCACAUCUUGACGGUACCUAAUCAGAAAGCCACGGCUAACUACGUG
rnacentral:rRNA from 1 species